GAGAGUUUGAUUCUGGCUCAGGAUGAACGCUGGCGGCGUGCUUAACACAUGCAAGUCGAGCGCGGUCCCUUUGGUGCUUGCACCAGAGAAGACUGAGCGGCGGACGGGUGAGUAACGCGUGGGUAACCUGCCCUAUACACAUGGAUAACAUGCUGAAAAGCAUACUAAUACAUGAUAACGUACACUGAUGGCAUCUUCGGUGUAUCAAAGCGUUAGCGGUAUAGGAUGGACCCGCGUCUGAUUAGCUAGUUGGUGGGGUAAAAGCCUACCAAGGCCACGAUCAGUAGCCGACCUGAGAGGGUGAUCGGCCACAUUGGAACUGAGACACGGUCCAAACUCCUACGGGAGGCAGCAGUGGGGAAUAUUGCACAAUGGGCGAAAGCCUGAUGCAGCAACGCCGCGUGAACGAUGAAGGUCUUCCGAUCGUAAAGUUCUGUCGCAGGGGAAGAUAAUGACGGUACCCUGUGAGGAAGCACCGGC
rnacentral:rRNA from 1 species